rnacentral:rRNA from 1 species
CCUACGGGAGGCAGCAGUGGGGAAUAUUGGACAAUGGGCGAAAGCCUGAUCCAGCCAUGCCGCGUGAGUGAUGAAGGCCCUAGGGUUGUAAAGCUCUUUCACCGGUGAAGAUAAUGACGGUAGCCGGAGAAGAAGCCCCGGCUAACUUCGUGCCAGCAGCCGCGGUAAUACGAAGGGGGCUAGCGUUGUUCGGAUUUACUGGGCGUAAAGCGCACGUAGGCGGACUAUUAAGUCAGGGGUGAAAUCCCGGGGCUCAACCCCGGAACUGCCUUUGAUACUGGUAGUCUUGAGUUCGAGAGAGGUGAGUGGAAUUCCGAGUGUAGAGGUGAAGUUCGUAGAUAUUCGGAGGAACACCAGUGGCGAAGGCGGCUCACUGGCUCGAUACUGACGCUGAGGUGCGAAAGCGUGGGGAGCAAACAGGAUUAGAUACCCCUGUAGUC